UACUAAUGCAACUGCGAAUAGCUGUUUAAUACAGUCGUAAUUGUAUUGACUUAAUAUAUAAUGUUAAUAAUAGUUAUUUAUAGGAUAACUAAGGGAAAGUUUGGCUAAUACGUUUUAACAGUAUUAAUUUUUAAUACACAUAUAAUAAUAUUAUAAUAUGAUAAAUAUUAUAUAAAUAUUUUAAUACAAAUAAUAUUUGUAUUAAUAUAUAGAGUUGACUUUAUAAUAUUUAUUUAUUAUAAAGCAUGUCAAACAAGCAUCUAUAGCAUCAAGUCACAAUGUUGGCAUGUGUAUUAUUGAACCUUCAAAGCAUUUACGCAUUCGGAGGAGUAGUUUCUGAUCCCGUCGAAGGUGCCUGAGAGACGGCACUUAGUUCUAAGGAACGCAGCAGGCGCGUAAAUUGCCCAAUGACAAAACAUGUUAUAAAAUAUAUUAAUAUAUAUAAAUACUCAAUAUUUAUUGAGGCAGUGACAAGCUGUAAAGAUUGAAUAUAUUAAUUAAGAUAACAUUUGGAAUUGUCGUUUUAUAAUAUUUUUUAAUAUUAUAUUACUUGAUAAUAUACCAAUGUUAUAAAAUAUUCAAUUUGAAUGCGGUGAAUGUAAUAAUUUCAAGUAACAUGUAUAAAAUAUUUAUAUUUUAUUAGUUAUCUGAAUUUUCAAGUGGAGGGCAAGUCUGGUGCCAGCAGCCGCGGUAAUACCAGCUCCACUAGCUUAUACAAUCAUUGUUGCGGUUAAGAGGCUCGUAGUUGGAUUGAAUAAAAACAUAUAUACACAAUACUGUGAACAAACCAGAGUGUAUAAAACAUGUAAUAUAUUAUAUAUUUAGCAAUGAAUGUUUUAUCAUGGAAUAUUGCUAUAAUGAAUAUUAAUUAUCGAUGGAGAUAGUUGGAGUUAAGAGUACUGAUAGGCGAGCGGUGAAAUGCAUUGACCCUAUUAAGACUAACAAAAGCGAAAGCACUUAACUAGAUUAUUCUCUUUGUAUUAUUUUACAAUGAAGAGCGAAGGUUGGGGGAACAAAGAGGAUCAGAUACCCUCGUAGUCCUAUUUUUACAUCAAACUAUGGGAUUUCAUUCACACAAAAACACUAUAAACAUUAUAAUUAUAAUUAUGAUUGAGUAUAUGUCAAAAUAUUACUCUCAUAUUAAAUAAUUAUUAUAAUAUAUGAUUAUAUGUACUUUGAGCUCAUAUAAUUAUAUAGGUGAGAUGUAAGCAUUAUAAAGUGAAUAAUAUACAAGUAAUAUUGUAUUAUUAUGAUCUUUAAAAUAAAAAAUGUAAUGUGAUGCACGUUUUAGGUACGAGCUUACUAUAGAAAUAUUUAAAAUAAUACCCUCCUGGGGUAGUAUGCACGCAAGUGUGAAACUUGAAGGAAUUGACGGAAGGGCACCACAAGAACGCGUGGAGCAUGUGGCUUAAUUUGACUCAACCCGGGAAAUCUUACCAGGUCCAGACAUAUUGAGGAUUGACAGGCGAUAGUAUAUAAUUCAAUAUUAUAUGCAUAAAAAUGAUAGUCCUUUCAUGAUUAUAUGAUAGGUGGUGCAUGGCCGUUCUUAGUUCGUGGAGUGAUUUGUCUGCUUAAUUGCGUUUCAGUAAAUAAAAUAUAUAAUAUAUUAUAAUAU
rnacentral:rRNA from 1 species